AUGGCCAGGAGAGAACCACAGGGUCUCCUAACUUUAUUGUAUGGAAUCUUUUGAAGUAUGUAUGUAUAUUUUUAGAGUAUUCUAGCGGUAGCCAGAGCUUACUGGUGGAUCAUAAGUCAUGAUGCCCAAAGAGAACAAAUAUCUGGGAGGAAUGGGAAACUGAGAGCAACUGCCACCCUGCUGGUCUUCAACAUCCUCAGGAGGGAAUGUGGAGGGG